GGACGUCCCUUAGAAGCAGAAAUCUAAGGAUUCUUGUAGCCAGAAUGAAACUAAACACUCCCAGAAUGUUACUUUCUGCCUUGGCUCCCGCAUACCGGUGCUGCUUUUAGUAGCUUGGCAAAAAUCCCGCUGGGAUCAGCUGGACAAGAUGUCAUGGAUGCAAGAGCAGAGGAGUAUACCCAGUUGUAGCACUCAACUGUAAAAAAAAGUUUUAACUCAUACAUGACUUUGGUGGAAUCCAUGAAGUGGAAGCUGCAAGACACCUCAGAAACAACUGAAGCUUGGAAGUGAGUCAAUUAAUAAAAAUAACAUUU